rnacentral:rRNA from 1 species
UUCAAUCCUACAUGGAUAACUGUGGUAAUUCUAGAGCUAAUACAUGCAAUGAAGCCGUCUGACCGUCAAUGGUCAGCGGCGCAGUUAUUAGAUUAAAACCAAUAUAGGCCUUCGGGUCUAUCAAACUUGUGAUGAAUCUGAAUAACCGAAGCUAAGCACAUGGUCUCGUACCGGUGCUAGAUCUUUCAAGUGUCUGAUCUAUCAGCUUGUCGCUAGGUUAUGUUCCUAGCGUGGCUUCGACGGGUAACGGGGUAUCAGGGUCCGAUACCGGAGAGGGAGCCUGAGAAAUGGCUACCACAUCCAAGGAAGGCAGCAGGCGCGCAAAUUACCCACUCCCAGUUCGGGGAGGUAGUGACGAAAAAUAACGAUGCGGGAGCAUAAUGCUUCCCGUAAUCGGAAUGAGUACACUUUAAAUCCUUUAACGAGGAUCAAUUGGAGGGCAAGUCUGGUGCCAGCAGCCGCGGUAAUUCCAGCUCCAAUAGCGUAUAUUAAAGUUGCUGCGGUUAAAAAGCUCGUAGUUGGAUCUGGGUGUUUCGAUGAGUGGUGCAUCUAUUCGAUGUCUACUACUCCAUCGACACCACAAGCCAACCAUGUCUGUCUAUACCCUUCACUGUGGCGUAGAUAAUGGACGGUUGGAACGUUUACUUUGAAAAAAUUAGAGUGCUCAAAGCAGGCGUAUGGCCUUGAAUAAUGGUGCAUGGAAUAAUGGAAUAGGACCUCGGUUCUAUUUGUUGGUGUUUCAAGAGCUCGAGGUAAUGAUAAAGAGGAACAGACGGGGGCAUUCGUAUUGCGACGUUAGAGGUGAAAUUCUUGGAUCGUCGCAAGACGAACUACUGCGAAAGCAUUUGCCAAGAAUGUUUUCAUUAAUCAAGAACGAAAGUUAGAGGUUCGAAGGCGAUCAGAUACCGCCCUAGUUCUAACCAUAAACGAUGCCAACCAGCGAUCUGUCGGUGUUUAUUCUAACGACUCGACAGGCAGCUUCCGGGAAACCAAAGUGCUUAGGUUCCGGGGGAAGUAUGGUUGCAA